rnacentral:piRNA from 1 species
UACUAAGACAUUUUAAUUGAACCCACCCU